CAGGAAGAGAGGCUGUGCGCGCGAGGGAGAGCCGAAGCCCAUGUGCGCAGGUGGGCAACACCCGUUUCCACCGCAUUGUCAGCCGGUGGUGGCUGCAGACAUGCAUUUGGGGCGGGGAAAAGAAGAGGGAACAGGACAGCAGAUGGGAGGCCGGCAUCCAAGAGCCAACAGCGAGUUCGGGAUGGCUCUGGGUACGUGUGUGUCGUGGGUGCCAGUCUGUCUUUCUCAACCUCAGAGAUUACGGUUUACGACUUGAUAUCUUCCUUUGGCUGGAUGGAAGUGAAGACUGCGAGAGAGCGUGAAUCGAGGGAGGGAAAAUCAGAUGGCAGUGUGAAAACCAAAUACAAACAUUGGUAGAAGUUUUUUUUUUUGCUCUCUAUGAGAAAAUGAAGACAGUGUACACAUGACUAGGCUCGGGGAACUUGAGAAACCACAGGACUGAAGCAUUGAUGAUAUUUUAUCAGCACUGGAAAAUAUCUGUAGGAGGAAACCUUUCGUUUUGCCUUCUAUAAAAAAUGUUUUGUAAAUUUGGCUUCUGUAACUAUGACAGUGAAGAACUGUUAACGGAAGCUGAAAAAGGCAUCACCGGGAAGCAUGGCUUACUGAGAAUGGGCUCCUCUGGAGUUUUCACGAAGCUAAAUAGGUCUGAAAAGAGGAUUGCACGAUGCUACUCCAAACUCAGUGACUUCAGCAUGCUCUCAUCAAAGUCUCAUCUGGUCUCGAAGUGAGGAGAGGGAGGAGAGAUGAUCUGCAUGGUCAUCUCCAUCUGCAUCAUCUAUCAGCAUCAUCUAUCAGCUUCAUCUGAGUCCCCUUCAGGAAGUGAGGGCAGCUGAAUGUCAACUCGCGAAGCAUCCCUGACCUGCUCUCGAGUUGCCAUAGGCAAGCGGGAUGGGGAAUUGAACCUCGCAGCUGCAUCAAGGAACUUGCAUUUCAGUCAAAACAAAGCACAUUCCAGCUGGCGAUGUCAAGAUCAUCUCCACGGGAACCCACAGUGGCUGGAGGGAGUGACUUUUACAACCCGCGGAAUUGCUUCGUUGGAGAAUGUGACUGAUGACACCUCUUGGGGGAGGGGGAAACAGGGUCAGAGGCAAAGUGCUAAUUAAGUGAGAUCAGAGUUGGCUCCAUUUGGUCUGUGCCGACAUGAAGUUCCUAAUAAAUCAGGGUUUCCUUUGAAGCUUGGCCUGAGGCUCAUGAUUUAAUUAGGGCAUUAGUCAGAACCCUGACAUUACUGUUAAUAUGAUCAUUCUCAGAAUACAAUAAAAAUAGUAUCUUAAAUCCAAGAGCAAACAUUCUUUGCUUGGCCUUCUUAAUUAUGCUAAAAUGUUUUUUCAAUUUAAAUAAUUAUCUUAUUAAAAUUUUCUAAUCUUUGGUGUUGCUGUUGAACAAAUUGAAUUUGUUCUUCACCUAUUUUCUUGUCAAUUACUUGCGUGUUUGGGAUCACUGCCAGCUUUAUCUGAGGGACAGAUACAAUUUCAUUUGAGCCAUGAGUAGGCAGGAAAGUCAUAUGACAUACUAUUAAUAUUUUUAAUUCUUCAUUUCACUUUGCAUAAAUGCACCAAACCUGCUCAGGAGAAAAGACAAAAAUAUGGCAAAGAAUAACUGUUUAUAAAAGCAAUGAGUACAAGUGUUAUUCAUACAAUCAAUAACAACAUUUCAACUAUUAUAUUUACUGCUGUAGGAAGGAGAAUCCAUCUGGUUCAGUUCCAAGCUGGGAGAAAGACAUUGGAAAUAACAUGGAGGCUGAUUGGAAAGAAAGUUUCUGUUUAUUGGUGAACAGAACCAACACAAACACAGUUCUGGGUCAGCUGACCAAUUGGUUUGGUUUCUACAUGGAUUUUUAUAUAGUUUUUACAGCAUUUUGUAAUCUAGGGGCUUGCUUUGUGUGAUUUAUUAUUUGAUUGGUUUUACUUGCUUCGCAAAGGCUCAUGAUGGGUCUUAAUUAUUAGUUCCUUAGUCCUAAUCCUGGCAGGCAUGUGUAAUUGAUUUUAUCCUGUUAUCUAUUGCCUCUAGCCUGCCUUUUGAAAUGGACCAGUACUGUUUCCACUUUUCUUAAUGAAUGGAGUUAAGAUCAUGUCCUGUUCUUUCUUAAUCCCAUCUUAAUUUCUAAAGGAGUUUAUGAAUAGAUUGGCUCAGACUUUCUUAAUGGGCCCAAAAUAUCUGCUGUGGGCUAUUAAGACUGAGUCUGCUUUCUGUCUUUAACAGCAUGUUUCUCCAUUUCUUCUGUAGAAAGUUAGCACCCACUCCCUCCUAGAAGAAUGAAAUAUUCUAGUAAAUAUUAAAAAGGCAGAAUAUUAUAUUUCCCUGGAUGAGAAAAGGAGAAACAUGUUUUUAAAGACAAAGAGCAGCUCCCUGCAGCUCCCUGCCCCCAGCAGAUAUUUGGUGCCCAUUGAGCAGGACUGGGCCAGCCUAUCUACAAGACAAUUAGACCUUCAGCUCCAGGGUGAUGGGAUUAAGACAUGACCUUCCAGGACAUAAUAGGAUUAUCUAUCAGCAGAACUCACCACAUGGCACAACCAAGCCCCUUGAUUGCAUUACCCAGCAAGAUUCAACCAAACUUAUCUCAGACAACCUCAACUAUGACCCCUGCAUAGCCUCCUGUGAGUCUGACAACCUAUAGAAUAUAUUUCUUGCACAGGAACAGGAAGCUCAAGGGCAAGGCCCAAGAGAGAAUAUAAAUACCUCUCUCUUUCUCUCUCCACCAUGUGUUCAGCUGCCCAGGACCUCAAACCCAUGUGGUCCUGCUCUCCAAUAAAUCAUUUUUCCAAUCAGCCUCCAUGUUUCCAGUGUCGUUCUCCCUACUUGGAACUGAACCAGAUGGAUAUUUCUUCCUACACUCACUUUGGGGAAAUAUAAUAUUCUGCUUCUUUUAAUAUUCCAUAAAAUAUUUCAUUUUUCGGGCAGGGGGCUUCCCACACUGCAAAGGAAACAACUAUUAAACUCACAGUAUUUCAGAUUCCACUGUGAAUUUCACUGAAAUGACAUAGUAUUAAUUGUAAAAUCAAGUUUUAAUUCCAAUAAAUAUUCCUACACAAACCAAAGUACUUGAGCAUACGUACACACACUAAGAAAGGUAAUGAAACACUUAAAGGACAGACUUUGAACCUCGGCACAUUUUAUCUGCCUAAUCCAAGUAUUCUUUGCAUGAGGCAAAAGAGAAAAUGGGCCACAAGCUUCCAUGGUUAAUCUUUGAAAUAGAAACUGCACUGAAAACAAUAUGGGCUACCUCAGGACAGCAGGUUUAUUGAGGAGAGCAAAGAUAUUCCCUUACCACCAUUUCAUGUUCACUCUGCAUUUGCUGACUAAUACAGCAUGAGUUAAAAUGAUAUAUAGUCCAUUUAAAUCCCUUUAUCAGAAACAAUACUGUUGUAAAAUGAAGAAUUAAAAAUAUUUAAUUCACAAGCAGUGAUACUAUUCUAAUUCUGUAUGUGCCAUGUUUAUUCCCAAAAUAUACUUUAAGGUUGUCCAUAUCCUUCUGACGUUUGCAGUUUUGUAGCUAUUAGCUCCCUGUCUCUUGACUAUUGUAACGUAUACAACAGGGUUUCGGGUUUUCGGAUUUUAAGUUAGGCAAGAAAAACUAUGGAUUUGCAUCUGUACAAAAUAAACUUGAAAUUGUAUUAUA